rnacentral:rRNA from 1 species
UACGUAGGGCGCAAGCGUUAUCCGGAAUUAUUGGGCGUAAAGAGCUCGUAGGCGGUUUGUCGCGUCUGCCGUGAAAGUCCGGGGCUCAACCCCGGAUCUGCGGUGGGUACGGGCAGACUAGAGUGAUGUAGGGGAGACUGGAAUUCCUGGUGUAGCGGUGAAAUGCGCAGAUACCAGGAGGAACACCGAUGGCGAAGGCAGGUCUCUGGGCAUUAACUGACGCUGAGGAGCGAAAGCAUGGGGAGCGAACAGG